UACGAAGUGGGCUAGCGUUGCUCGGAAUCACUGGGCGUAAAGCGCACGUAGGCGGAUUGUUAAGUCAGGGGUGAAAUCCUGGAGCUCAACUCCAGAACUGCCUUUGAUACUGGGAAUCUUCGAGUCCGGGAGAGGUGAGUGGAACUGCGAGUGUAGAGGUGAAAUUCGUAGAUAUUCGCAAGAACACCAGUGGCGAAGGCGGCUCACUGGCCCGGUACUGACGCUGAGGUGCGAAAGCGUGGGGAGCAAACAGG
rnacentral:rRNA from 1 species